rnacentral:rRNA from 1 species
GGGGGGGGGGGGGGGGGGGGCGGGGGCAGGGGGGUCGGGCGGGGGGUGGGGGGCUGGGGGCGGGGGGGGGCGUAGCGGGGGGGGACCUGCCCGUGGGUUCGGAAUAACUCCCCGAAAGGGGUGCUAAUACCGGAUAAUGGCGUCGGACCAAAGAUUUAUCGCCUUUGGAUGGGCCCGCGUUGGAUUAGCUAGUUGGUAGGGUAAAAGCCUACCAAGGCGACGAUCCAUAGCUGGUCUGAGAGGAUGAUCAGCCACACUGGGACUGAGACACGGCCCAGACUCCUACGGGAGGCAGCAGUGGGGAAUAUUGGACAAUGGGCGAAAGCCUGAUCCAGCAAUGCCGCGUGAGUGAUGAAGGCCUUAGGGUUGUAAAGCUCUUUUACCCGGGAUGAUAAUGACAGUACCGGGAGAAUAAGCGCCGGCUAACUCCGUG